UGACAGGUGGUGCAUGGUUGUCGUCAGCUCGUGUCGUGAGAUGUUGGGUUAAGUCCCGCAGCGAGCGCAACCCUCGACCUUAGUUGCCAGCAUUCAGUUGGGCACUCUAAGGUGACUGCCGGCUAAAAGUCGGAGGAAGGUGGGGAUGACGUCAAAUCAUCAUGCCCCUUAUGACCUGGGCUACACACGUGCUACAAUGGGCGGUACAAAGGGUCGCGAACCCGCGAGGGGGAGCCAAUCCCAAAAAGCCGCUCUCAGUUCGGAUUGCAGGCUGCAACUCGCCUGCAUGAAGCCGGAAUCGCUAGUAAUCGCGGAUCAGCAUGCCGCGGUGAGUACGUUCCCGGGCCUU
rnacentral:rRNA from 1 species